UAUUAUUUAGAAAGUUUUUUUUUUUAUUUUUCUUCUUCUACUUUUAUUUGUAAUAUUAUAAGUGUUUGCGUGAGAGAAAAAACUCAGAGAAUAUCCUUGAGAUAAAAAGAGAAAAAAAAGAGAGAAAAGAGAAGACUUCUAGUGAAGUCAAAGUUAGUGUCAUGGGGAACUAAGUGAUUGGGAACAAGUUUCCAGAGAAAUAGAGAAGGUCCUUAUUCCAUUGCCUUCCUUCCUUUUACAAGUUUCCAUAGGAAAGCAUCAGAUUUCUGUUAUUUUUUCGCUCAAAAAACCCGUGUUUCCCAUCUCUCCCUUAAUUCACCCAUUUUCAUUCCUUUUCCUUCUUUCCUUCUACAAAUCUCCACUUGUUUCUUGCUCUAUACUCUUCUCAAACCCUAACCCUAAUCUCUGUCCUCGUCAGCCACACCAAAGGAAUCUCUGACCUUGCUUGCUCUUCCGACUCUCACUAUAUCAUCUCUGACGACGACACUUCUCUCCGUAUUUGGGCCGCACACACCUCUGCUUGCGACCGCGUUAAUGGCGACAAAAGAAGUACUGUGACAAUACUACCUUCAGCAUAUCCAUGAACUUUUGCUUCAGAUCCGCGUCAAAUCUCAUAAUCUCCAACGUCGUCUUAAAGCUUAGCGCAACCAGUUCCAUUCUCGAGGUCUCUUUUUUCUUCUCUUCUAAUCGUAAACCCUACUUUUUUCUAUUCUUGUUGGUUUUUGGCUUAAUUUUAUUUUAUGCCUUGUAAUUGUUUGAGUUGGUUGGUGGAUUUCUACUUUUUUUUAUUUUUUAUUUUUUAAUUCGAUUUCUACUAACUGUUUAAGUCGAAUUGAGUAACUUUCGAUUGUAUCUUGUUAUUGAUUUUGUUGGCGAUUUUACUAACUUUUUUUUGGCUCCUUUGACUAUAUGCAUGUUUUUAUGAAUAUAUUUUGUUCUUUUUUGCUAUUUAUUUGGUGUAUAGGUUGUUAUUCUAUAAACUGGUAUUGGUUUGGAUGGAAGAUUGUGUCUUUUGUUGCUAUAGUCAAUCCGACGUCGUUUUUCUGCGUCAAUUGUAACCAACUGCUAUUGGGGUUUGUUUGAAGGUGUUGAUUGACGAUAAAAUUGGGUUUUAUUUUGCUCUAGAUUGACCCUCAAUGAAGCAAUAUUUAUAGUAGCUGAAUUACUGGAACACUUACGUAGAUUACAUUGUUGAUCCUUUUACUCAAUGGAAGAACAACUUGUUGAGAUAUUGCUUGCGCUAUGGGGAACUAACCAAAUCAAAUGAGCAGCGCUUUAUUUGCUUGCUAUGUGAUGGAAAUAGAGAUAAUAUGUCAUUCUUUUCAAUAUAUAUAGUUAUAGUGGAAUAUGAAAUUAAAAUUAUAGCAAAUACUCUUAUGUAUCUAAUUAUUUAUGUUUAUGCUUAAAUUAAGCAUACUAUGCUUAAUAAAAUGAUUAUUGAUAUAUAUUAUUGGUUAAUAAUGAAAAAAUGCAAAAAAAAAAAAAAAUUGUUUUUGGGGUGGUCAACCGCAACAGUUAAUCAUUUACCGCUACAGUUUUGGUUCAAAAUCGCAGCAGUUAAUGAGCGGUAAAUAAAUAAUUGUUGCGGUUUUGGACCGGAUCAGUUAAUAUUUGGGGACUGUUGCGAGUCCAACCGUUACGGUCCAAAACCGCAGUGGUAAGCCCGAUUUCGACCGUAGCGGUUGAACUUUUUUCGACUAGUGUUUCUUGCUAUAUCAAUGUCAUUAUCAAAUAUAACUCCACAUUUUCUCAAUUCUUUAGCAUCAACAUAUGUAGCUCAUGGAAGGAUCACGAAUGGAGAGGGGUAAACCACAUCUCCAUACUUUUGAGGGACAUCUCCCCACCUUUCUUAUAUUCUACUUGCAAGACUUUUAGGUCAUGACGUUAUAUGUGGGAGCAAUACCCGCUCAAAACACAUAAUGAUCAAUACCCGCUCGAUGAAUGUUUUUCAUCACUGCUUAUGCUUAUAAAACAAAAAUUAUACUCAUACAAAAUUACAUAUACUCAACACUUGUACUUAUAUACUUAUACUCAAAUACUUAUACUUAAAUACUUAACUACUUAUGUUGAAAUACUUAUACUUAGAUACUUAUACCGAAAUCAUAAGGCUCACAUGCUUUUACUCAACUUACACAUUAAUUCAUAUCUUUUAAGUAAUUUUUUUCAUUCCAAGUUUCAUUAAAAAAUUCUAAAAUAAUUAGCAGUAUUCAGAAUCCUAACAUCUCAAAUUACAUUUAUCUCCUUAAAAUUCAUUUAAGAGUAAGCAGAUUGCGGUCGAGAGCAUAUUUAAGUUUCUCAUAUUGGAUCCUCCAAAUAUAAUUUCUAACAAUCCAACCAUAGGAUCUAUAGUUCUACCAUAUAACUUCCCAAUCAUGACUAAGUUCAUAUUCAAUACAUUAACUCCGAAUAGCCAGAGUAGUAGGUGUUUCCAACUUUGUUUCAUUAGUAUUUCGUACUAAAUAUCGAAUUUUGCAUCAUUUUGUAGCUUUUAUGCUUAUUAAUCCUAUGUUUGAAGCAGUAUGUUCGAAGCAACUCACUUCAUUUCUUUUUGUUUAUAAAUCAAGUGUAUUUACACAUUACCCCCAGAACCACCAGACUUCUCCGAGCUUGGCACCAGCGUUACCAAGAUUCAACCUUGGAGGCAGAAUUGUAAAGACGGUUUGGUAACAGAUCAAAGAACAUUCAAAGAUAAACUCUCCUCACCAAAAACCCCAUUUACCACAAGAAAACCCUUGCCUCCUCUUCUCCACCCCCUCCUUCGUACCUGAGUCAGACCUUUUUCUCCCAAUGACGGCAUCUAAAUAGAAAUAUGUAAAAGUGGAACUGGUUGUAAUUGUAAAAGCAUGUGGGAAAUCAUUUUCCUCGGAUUUCCUCAUUGAAGGUAUGAAGAAAGUCUAGAAAGUUCAGGGACCCCUCUAUGCUUUUCCCAUGGGUAAGGGCUUCUUUAUCUUCAACUUCGCUUCAAAAGAUGAUAUUACUAAGGUACUAUCACAUGGGCCUUGGUAACUGGCAAACUAACACAUAUAUGUUCAACCUUUGGUACUAGAUUUAAAUCUUCAAAUGCAAAACUGGACUAUUAUUCUAUAUGGGUGGCUCUUCUAGAGCUACUGGUGGAGCUACAAUCAGUGGAAAUGCUCCAAAUGUUAGGAAACACAAUUGGCUCGUUCAUAAGAGCUGAUAUAAAGCCAUUAAGAGAAAAAAUUUGCAAAUGUUCAAUGUAUGGUGAAUUUCAAAUAGCCUCUUAAGGAGACCUUAUGGAUAGGGAAACUCAAACAAGAGUUGGUGUACCUUGAGAAAGAAAAAUUCUGCAAGCUAUGUCAAAUGAUCGGACAUGAAACAAAGUCCUACAAAGGUAAUCAACAUGAUUAGAACUCCAUGGGAAAGGAAGAUAACACCGGAGAGAAUGAAGGUUAUAUUAGGACGGAUGACACAGCAGUGGCGGACCAACGGAAAAAGGUCCAAAACCAAAAAAUUGAUUACCUAAAAAUGGCUACUAGGCUCCAAGACUGGGAAAAGAAAAACAAAGGACCUGAGGAAAUCAGGAAAUUUAAGAAUAGGUUCAAUGUAUUAAAUGAAGUGGAGGACUUAUAUAAAGCCACGUGGAAAGCAAUCUCGACUAACCCUAGUCGUUCAUCCCCCAAAUUAAUCCAGACCUUUCAAACCCUGAUAAGUGGACUUUAUGUUCACUUAUUUGCAUUUAAUUUAGGUCAUUUAGAUUCAUUUUAGGCCAUAUAGUUUCUUUUUCUUCCCAUUUUUAUCAUUUCUCAUAUUCUCAUACUUAGCAUUUUUAGUUCGUUUGCAUAUGGUUAGGUUGCAUAUAGGUCAUUUUUUUUGCAUGUGCGUUCCCCCCUCCCCCAUCUACUAUUUUCAUGGAGUGUUUUGAAGCUAAGAUAAGCAAGGAAGAGGCUCCAAACAGGGGAGUGGGCGCUCCUGAGGAAGAGGAGCGUUCCAGGAGCGGGCGCUCCGUCGUCAAGUUUUCCUGAUUUUUGUUUCGUCUUUUACAAUUUUGCCCUUAUUUAUACGGGGUAUAAAACAAACUUUGUAAUAAUCCUAAUACUAAGCUUUUAAUUUCUGAAUCAAUUAGUUCAAAUUAGAGAGAGUUUUUAG